AUGCCGGGUCACUGGAUCCGGGAUUGCCGCAGGAGGAAAGCCGACGAGGCAGCCACGACAACGACAAACCUCGUCCAAGCUGACGUGGACGGCGGGCCGGCAAUGAUGCUGGCAAGAGUCGAGCCCGUGCAGGAGAGCACAGCGUCUCUCGCGACCAUGGCUCCGACAACCACCCAUUCUGUGCAGGAGGCACGGAACCCGUCCACGGGAACCAUCACUCCAGUGACAGACCACACCUCGACAACGACAUUCUCGGGGCCUGUCGACUGGGAGGCGAUGAAGGCUCGGGUGUGGGGGAGCCACACCCCAGCGACGGCGUCCCCGAACUCGGGACCCGACGAGGUCGCGCAAGUUGGCGCGACAACGACGCAUAUGGCGGACCAUGCUCCGACCAUGAUGCUGGCAACCAUCGACUCCGUGCAGGAGCGCACGGAGACUCAGGUCAGCCACACCCCGACAACAAAGUGUUCGGGGUCCACCGUGUUGACGGGAGAUGGCUCCCUGACCACGGCAUGUGCGUGCGGCUACGUCUUCCUCAACGAGGAGAGAGCCGUGACCACGCCCACGCUUGCAGGCGGCAAGCAAAGUGAGGGUUGGUUCCUCGACACCGGCGCCACGAACCACAUGACUGGUUCGGUCGACGUGUUCGCGGAGCUGGACCGCUCAAUCACCGGGAAGGUGCGGUUUGCGGACGGAUCCGUGGUGGAGAUCCACGGGCGCGGGACCGUCGUCUUCGCCGACAAAGGGGGUGAUCAUAGGGCGUUCACGGACGUCGACUUCAUCCCGGCGCUCAAGAGCAGCGUCGUGAGUGUUGGACAGCUCGACGAGGGCUGGUUCGACAUCGGCAUCUGGCGCGGUGUUCUCACCGUGCGCGACCAGCAGAAGAGGCUGCUCAUCGAGGUAACCCGCUCGGCAAACCGCCUCUACAAGCUCUUCUUUCGACCCGUGCAUCAUGUGUGCCUUGCCGUGGGCCAUGUCUCCGACGCGUGGCGUUGGCAUGCCCGGCUAGGACACCAGCACUUUGACGGGUUGCGGAAGAUGGCGCGAGGAAACCUCGUUCAUGGGCUACCUCACAUCGAGCAUGCCGACGAGUUGUGCGAUGCGUGUCUUGCCGGGAAGCAGCGGCGCCUGCCCUUUCCAGAAAAGGCACGCUAUCGGGCGCAGAAACCCCUGGAGCUGGUUCACGGGGACCUCUGCGGCCCAAUCACCUCGGCAACGCCAGGAGGGCGUCGCUACAUCCUGCUGCUCGUCGACGACUAUAGCAGGUUCAUGUGGGUGCUGCUCCUCGCCUCCAAGGAUGAGGCGGAGCAAGCCAUUGUCAAGCAGCAAGCGGCGGCAGAGGUCGAGUGUGGCCACAAGCUGCGCGUGCUGCGCACGGACCGUGGCGGCGAGUUCACGUCGGCCACGUUCUACAAGCACUGCGACGAGAAAGGGGUGCAACGUCACCUCACAGCCCCUUACUCGCCGCAGCAGAAUGGCGUCGUCGAGCGGAGGAACCAGACGGUGCUCAGGAUGGCACGCUGCAUGCUCAAGGCAAAGCAGGUGCCGAGCACGUAUUGGGGGGAGGCCGUGCUCACGGCUGUCUUCAUCCUCAACCGCUCCUUCACAAGGAGUGUCGAUGGAAAAACGCCUUACGAGGCGUGGUAUGGGAGGAAACCCGAUGUAUGCUUCCUCCGCACCUUUGGCUGCAUCGGGCACGUCAAGAUGACGUGCCCACAGCUGAAGAAGCUCGACGACAGGAGCACCCCAAUGGUGUUCAUGGGCUACGAGACGGGCUCUAAGGCGUACAAGAUGUACGACCCCGUCUCAAAGCGUGUGCAUGUCUCGCGCGAUGUCAUCUUCGACGAAGACGCGCGAUGGACUUGGGAGACGUCGGGGGAGGCCCCGGCAAGCAACUCCUUCACCGUGGAGUACCCGAUGUACUCUAGGACCCCGGGAAACAAGACCCCGGGAAGUUCCACCCCAGGAAGCCCGGGAAGUGUGGAUCCGGGAACCGCAACCCCGAGAACACCGUCUCCGGGUACGGUGUCCCCGGACACCCCGACGUCAAGCAAGGUGGGUCUCGGGAGGCAGUUCGCAACCCCGCCAACGGCGAGGUCGGAGCUGUUCGACGCCGACGACAGCGUUGGCGCCCCCCACAGGUUUCGGCGCAUGGGGGAUCUCCUCGGCGAGGUUGCGGCAACACCGCAACAACCCGAGGAUGAGGACGCUGAUGACGACGAGGUCCUGCAUUUGAUGGCCGGUGAGGAGCCGACCACAUUCGCGGAGGCCGAGCAAGAGGAUUGCUGGCGCCAUGCGAUGCUGGACGAGCUGGUGUCGAUCAACGACAACGCCACUUGGACAAUCACCACACUGCCUGCUGGGCACCGAGCCAUCGGGCUCAAGUGGGUGUUCAAGGUGAAGAAGGACGAGCACGGAGCCAUUGUCAAGCACAAGGCGCGCCUCGUCGCCAAGGGCUACGUGCAGCGUGAAGGAGUGGACUUCGAGGAAGUCUUCGCUCCGGUGGCAAGGCUGGAGUCCGUGCGGCUCAUCCUUGCCGUGGCUGCUCACCGCGGGUGGGAGGUACACCAUAUGGAUGUCAAGUCGGCGUUUCUCAACGGCGACCUAAACGAGGAGGUGUACGUCUCCCAGCCACCCGGGUUCGUUGCCAAGGGCCACGAGCAGAGCGUGUAUCGACUACACAAGGCCCUCUAUGGUCUCCGGCAAGCCCCAAGGGCGUGGAACGCCAAGCUCGAUGCAAGCCUCGCAUCCCUUGGGUUCUCACGCAGCGCUUCUGAGCACGACGUGUACUCGCGUGGCACCGCGAACACGCUACUCAUCAUCGGCAUCUACGUCGACGACCUAGUCAUUGCCGGGGCAGAGCCCGAAGAGGUUCGACGCUUCAAGGGAGAGAUGCAUUGUCUCUUCAGCAUGAGCGACCUCGGGCUGCUCCGGUACUACCUCGGGCUGGAGGUGAACCAGGAGGGUGGUUGCAUUACGAUCAUGCAGACGGCCUACGCCACCAAGAUGCUUGAACGAGCAGGCAUGAAGGACUGCCAUGCCGUGCACGCUCCAAUGGAGGCACGACUGAAGCUUAGCAAGGAUAGCUCCGAGAAGGCGGUGGAUGCUACACUCUACUACCGCAUCAUCGGGAGUCUGAGGUACCUCGUGCACACCCGACCAGACAUCACGUUCGUUGUCGGAUACCUGAGUAGGUUCAUGGAAGCCCCGGCAAGCGAUCAUCUCGCUGCCGUCAAGCUCCUGCUCCGGUACAUCGCGGGUACGCUCACGCAUGGAUGCGUGUAUCGUCGUGGCGACGGCGAGAGCUUGGUCGGGUACAGCGACUCCGACCACGCUGGUGAUGUGGACUCCCGGAAGAGCACCUCGGGCAUACUAUUCCUUCUCGGGAAUAGUCCCGUCAGCUGGCAAUCGGUGAGGCAGAAGGUUGUCGCCGUAUCUUCGUGCGAGGCGGAGUACAUCGCGGCAGCUACAGCAGCCUGUCAAGGCAUUUGGCUUGCUCGCCUUCUCGGUGAGAUGCUGAAUCAGGACACCGUCCCUGCGCUCAUCUUCGUCGACAACAAGUCGGCGAUUUCCCUCUGCAAGAAUCCAGUUCUUCACGACCGCAGCAAACACAUCGAUCUCCGCUAUCACUUCAUACGCGACUGCGUCGAGAAAGGCUCGGUGAUUGUGGAGUUCAUCAAGACUGGUGAA
rnacentral:rRNA from 1 species